UAGUUUUGUUUUUGUAGUCAGUUUUCCCUUUGGUUAUGUUAUAGUCUAGCUCAUCUUAUAUUCCUUUUGUCUUCCAGUCUGGUCACCAAAGGAACCAUUCAUAUUCCCUCAGUUCUCUGCAGCCUGGUCCACACCUGAUUCUCGUCUCCUCUGAUAUCCUGCCUCUCUGUCUCAUUGGUCCAUACUCCACUCCCCUCUGUUUAUAAGCUGACUCGUUUUCAUUGUUCUUCGCUGGUUCCUCCCGUUCACUACCAUGACUAUGUUCAGUUUGUGCUACGCUCCUGCUCUGAGUUUUCAUUGCAGAUCAAGCCUGCGACCCUCUCACCCCCAGCAGCCAGGCACUGACUCAACUGCCCAGCACUGAGGAGGAGGAACCACCUCGAGCUCUCCAAACCUGCAAGAGAGGACACCAUGCCAUCCCACCCAAUUGGACAGUCCCAGGGAGGUCAAGAGAGUAGGACAGCUAUCAGGGCCCAGCUCAGUCCCUGCAGCCCACAGCCAGCCCAGAGCAUUGCUGUGAACCAUAGACCACCAUUCAGGAACCCACCAUGCUGCGAUAUGACGGAAGUAACCACACAAACACCACCACACCAGCCAGGUUCUCCCCUCAUGUCAGAAGGUUUAAUCACCCUACUCCAGAAGAUCCUAUUUUUACAAGUUCCUAUUAUUCCAGAAUGCAUAAGCUGCAUCUACUGCUACUAAGUUACAGGCAGUUUAUAGAUUGGACUGAUGAAUAUGAGAGUUUUAGUUUAAAACCGAUACAUAUAAAAACAGCACCUUUAUUGACAAAUCUGUCAACAUGAUCUGUUGCAUCAAACUGAAGAAUGCUUUCACUGUCCAUGAUGACUGAAAUCAUGAAAAUUCCUGGAUAUUUAAGUGUUAGGAAUGAAAAAGCUGCAGUCAUUGUUUCCCACAUGACGAACGCACAGACAGACACUGCUGGAGGAUCAGAAAAGCAGCUUGGUGCUGCAGGAGGCUCCUGACAGAGCAAAGAUGUCAGAUGUUCAGCUGUUGUGUUUCGCCUAUAGUUGGACAAAACACACAGUGAUGCCUUUAGAUUGUCUUUUUUUCCUCAAGAAAUUUCUCAAUAAACAUAAAGAGUUUAAAUUGA